GGGCAAGUGAUAGAUUUUCGCAAGCUUGACUGGGGUUAUGUACCACCUGUAUAUCAUUUUCAUAAUAUUCUAUCUUAAGGCAUUACAUGCCGUAAAUUUCAUACCUGUGGUCCAUAACUGUUCCCAGUCAGCAAACAUAAUGUUAUGUCCAACGUCCUGUGCCCAUUUAAUCAUAGCCGAUUUUACCGUUUCAUCCUGAGUACAGUAUUCCAUUUCAGCAGCAAGUUGUACAUUCUUGACAAAUUCUUAGUUUUGGGUUCUAACAAUUCUGUUUCUAAUUUGGAUCUUUCCACCUGGAAGCCAAUUUUCCUGUCCAAUUUAAAUGCCUCCAUGUCCCAUUCUUUUUUAAAAGCCAUCUAGGUUGGUGGCCUUCCCUGCCUCCAGUGGCAGGGACUUCCAUAAGCUUAACUCUGCACUGCGUGAAGAAGGGUUUUGUUUUACCUGCCCGGCACCUUCCAGCAUUCAGCUUGAUGCCAUGACCACGUGGGAGAAAAACAUUUCUCUAGCUACUUUAUCCAGGCGAUGCAUUAUUUUAUAAACUUAUAGCUUGCAGCCAGAAAACGGGGUCAGAGGAACUCACUCCCACUGCUUCGGAUGCCUUCCUGCGAAACCCAAUCUCAGAGCAGGAGACUCUUCCAUCUCAGAGUUGUGGGUUUGAGCCCCACGUUGGAUAAAAAAAGUUCCUGCAUUGCAGUGGGGGGGGGGGUUGGACUAGAUGACUCUGGUGGUCCCUUCCAGCUCAGCAGUUCUUGUUGUUGUUGAGUCAUUUAGUCGUGUCCACCUCUUCGUGACCCCCUGGACCAGAGCACGCCAGGCACUCCUGUCUUCCACUGCCUCCCGCAGUUUGGUCAAACUCAUGCUGGUAGCUUUGAGAACACUGUCCCACCAUCUCGUCCUCUGUCGUCCCCUUCUCCUUGUGCCCUCCAUCUUUCCCAACAUCAGGGUCUUUUCCAGGAGUCUUCUCUUCUCAUGAGGUGGCCAAAGUCUUGGAGCCUCAGCUUCAGGAUCUGUCCUUCCAGUGAGCACUCAGGGCUGAUUUCCUUCAGAAUGGAGAGGUUGGAUCUUCUUGCAGUCCAUGGGACUCUCCAGAGUCUCCUCCAGCACCAGAAUUCAAAAGCAUCCAUUCUUCGGCGAUCAGCCUUCUUGAUGGUCCAGCUUUCACUUCCAUACAUCACUACUGGGAAAACCAGAGCUUUAACUAGACGGACCUUUGUUGGCAAGGUGAUGUCUCUGCUUUUUAAGAUGCUGUCUAGGUUUGUCAUUGCUUUUCUCCCAAGAAGCAGGCGUCUUUAAUUUCAGCAGUUCUAGGAUUCUAUAAACCCAGUGGUCGCUGACCAUUGGAGAAUGAAUUGGUGCCUUUUUGAAGGGUCUGGCCCAGUUCUUGAAUAAGACUAGAUAGCAGGUUUUUUUUUGGGGGGGGGGACAAUGGGCUGACUUGCAAGGAGCAGGAAUGUGCCGCAAAAGUUGUGAGAGAGACUGAAAGGUUUUGCUUUGGUGCCACGUAGAAGGUAAAAUAGCUGUAUAAUGAAUUGAAAAAGGUGUUUAAGUAUAAUUUUAGUAAAAAAAAAACCAGAGGCAUUUUUGCUGGGGUUAAUUGGUGAGGAAAUAAUAAUUUAAAAAAGAUGUAAAUUUGUUUAUGUAUGCCACAAGGGCCGCAAAAAUACUUCUGGCCCAGAAAUGGAAGCAGCUGGAACUUCCUACACUUGAAGAUUGGCAGAUAAAGAUGGUUGAAUACAGCUGACGGGUAAGAUCCAGAAUCGGCGUGAUGAACUGUUUCAAAAGGACUGGAGCAAAUUUAUAUUUUAUAUGAAAGAAAACUAAAUAUUUGAAAACGUUUGUAGGUCUGAGUUGAAAUGUUUGGUAACGUGAAAAUAAUGAGCUGAUUUACGUAUAAGGAGGUGAAUGUCAAAAGAAGAUAUAAGGUAAAAAAAGUGGCUAUAGAAAUGCGAAGAAAUUGUAAAAGAUGUUUGGAAGUCAGAAAGAGGGAGGGAAGGAGGUCGGUGCUUUGUUUGAGCAAUGCUUUAAGUUAUGGAUUUGUGUUAUGAAAUAUGGAAAAUCAAUAAAAAUUAUGUUAAUAAAAUAAAAUAAAAGGUAAAAUAGCUACCACUGGGCUUAAGGACUCAGCACCAACUCCAGAAUGGAAAGACACCCACAACUUCCUUGGGGAGAUUUCCCUUGGCAACAGAGUGUGGGGAAAUCACAGAACUGGAAGGGAACCCCAAAGGUCAUCUUGUCCACCCCUCUUCGAUGCAGGAACCACACAGCUAAAGCAUCCCUGGCAGGUGGUGGCCACCCCACGUCUGUUUAAACCCCCACCCAAAAAGGAGAGCCCGCCACCUUCUGCGCCACCGCCAAACGGCUCUUGUCAGCUGGCACUGCCAGGAAGUUAUUCUCAAGGUUGUUGGAAUCUCCUUGCCAUUUGAACCCAGUGCUUCAGAUCCUGCCCUCUGGGCAGAGGUCAUUGCCAGUGCCAUAUGCCCUGCACCCCACAUUUAGGCAGGAUCCCCCUUCCGCAGCCUCCUCUUCUUCCCAUCCCCUCGUUAAGCACCUAUAGCUCUAUAAAGGUGCUUAACGAUAGAUAUAUAAUGGUCUCCCGUUUCUUAUUUUUGGGACCCAUAACGUUGCAAGGCUGCAGGGAACAGCCAAGGUUUUGCAGGAGGAUAAAGGAUUUUUAAGGGGUGAAAGAGAAGUGUGUUUUGGGGGGAGUGAAGAAACGCCCUGAUCUCUCCCCCCCCAUUCCUCUCAGCCCACCAGUCGCUUUCCUUCCUUCCCAGCCUCUUCAAAUGCAAUACAAAAAAGAAAGGGGGGUCCUUGCGCUGGCCACACCUCAGCAACAUUCUGGACCUGAGCAACUGGGCUACAGAUCUCGAUGGUGAGCAAGAGCCAGCGGUCGCUCCUUCCAGGAGGCUCAGGGCCCUCGUAUUUACGGGACCGCCUCUCCUGGUCUGCCCCGCAGAGGACCUUAAGGUCCAUGAAGAACC
rnacentral:lncRNA from 1 species